rnacentral:lncRNA from 1 species
ACUGUCUUAUUCCUCAGUUCUUUAUCCUUCCAAUCUAACAGAGUCACUGGUUCCUCAUCAUAAGUCAAGUCCGAAUUGAUUGCCAAAGGUUGAGGAGGAAUCACAUGUGAAGGGUCUGAAACAUAAUGUCGAAGCAUCGAAACAUGAAAUACAUCGUGUACCUUGGAUAACUCUGGAGGCAACUCAAGCCUGUAAGCAACCUCACUGACUCGCUCGGUGAUCAUAUAUGGUCCAAUGUACCUAGGACUCAAUUUUCCUUUCUUUCCAAAUCGUACAACACCCUUCUAAGGUGAUAGCUUUAGAAAUACCCAAUCACCUACAUUAUACUUCCGAUCAGUGGCAUGCUUGUCUGCUAAGCUCUUUUGUCGAUCUUGGGCCGCUUUCAGGUUAGACUUAAUUACCUGAACUUUUUGAGUAGUCACAUCCAUAAUCUCAGGGCCCA